rnacentral:lncRNA from 1 species
GCAUUCAAUCUCAAAAAAGUAUUUAGAGACACUAUUUUAAGACGGUCUCGUUAAAAAUGACUAAAACUCUUCUAUUUCAUCAGAAAUUUCUUGUGCUUCACACUGAAGGAAUAUUUUGGAUUUGUAUGUCCAUUCGGCAUCCUAGCUGGUGCUGGAACUGCAGCUCAGCCAGGCCUUCCCACUUAUCCCGCUCUGAUUCACGAAGUCAAGUCCAUUCCAGUGUGGAAAAGAGACUGGAAAAUGAAAAACGUCCUGGGCUCCAGAUCUACAUUCCAGGAAGCCCAAGCCUGCAGCUCCAGGGGUUUUAGGGAACUGGACACGAAGGGAGACAGGAAGCAGGUGAGAACUGGCAGGGGCUGUGCAGAGAGGGACCCAAGGGAAUUCAACCUCCUAGUUCUGCUGACCGAUGUCCUGUAGUCUUGUACUCUCAGCCAACCAUGUCUGCAGGCUGAUCUGGAGCGCAGGCUACCACCCCUGCUCAGUCCCCUCCAUACUCCGGAUGUUGAAACCCACAGAGUCCUCUGACCCAGUGCUGAGCUCAGGGGAUACAGC